ensembl:snoRNA
GGCCUCCUGAUGCUUACCACAAGUCAUUCUUACAAUGACUAUAUAGAAAAAGGAGGCAGAGUAAGUCUACCCCAUGUACAACUCAGCUCAGGCCCUGUGCCUGGCCUGUGUUGUGAAUGGAAAGACAUGG